rnacentral:rRNA from 1 species
AUUGAACGCUGGCGGCAUGCUUUACACAUGCAAGUCGAACGGCAGCGCGGGCUUCGGCCUGGCGGCGAGUGGCGAACGGGUGAGUAAUGCAUCGGAACGUGCCCAGUAGUGGGGGAUAGCCCGGCGAAAGCCGGAUUAAUACCGCAUACGACCUGAGGGUGAAAGCGGGGGACCGAAAGGCCUCGCGCUAUUGGAGCGGCCGAUGUCGGAUUCGCUAGUUGGUGGGGUAAAGGCUUACCAAGGCGACGAUCCGUAGCUGGUCUGAGAGGACGACCAGCCACACUGGGACUGAGACACGGCCCAGACUCCUACGGGAGGCAGCAGUGGGGAAUUUUGGACAAUGGGGGCAACCCUGAUCCAGCCAUGCCGCGUGCGGGAAGAAGGCCUUCGGGUUGUAAACCGCUUUUGUUCGGGAAGAAAUCCUCUGGGCUAAUACCCCGGGGGGAUGACGGUACCGGAAGAAUAAGCACCGGCUAACUACGUG